UAAUAUCGGCCGAUAUUAUCGGCUAAAUGAUUAAUCGUCGGUCUCUAAUCACAACUCUGACUCAGUUCGUUAACGUGACCUACUUUUAGGCCACUUCUUUAUGGCCAGUCCCCGUGUCGCCCCCUGGCGCUACAGCUGUGAGUGAUCGCUGGCCUCAAUGAAGAUGCCCUUGGUUACAUAUAAGUGGCACUUCUACUUUUAUAGACAUAUUUUGGUAUUUAAAAAAAUAUGACAAACCCACUUUUUUCAGGUGUAAUUUAGGAAAAUAAACCCCGUCUUAUAUUCUGAAGAAUAAGGUAAUCCAACACUUUACUUCUUGGUUAUAUGAAAGGCAAAGACUUUGAUUUAAUAAAUGUAAGGGUCCCAAUUGGACCAUGUACCUACCCUUAGAACAUUGCCUCUUUUUGACCAGCUGAGGUCUCUAAAAUUGUGUGCAGCUGUCAAGAUGCCUAUGCAGUGUCUUCUACGUUCAACUUUAAUUUGCAAGAGAAUGCAAAUGAAUGAACAUCUUGAGGUUUCUCAGCUGAAUGAGCAACAGUAUCGAAUAACUUUGAAGCCUCAGUGUUCAUGGUUUAAUUACAUGAAUACGUCUUCAAGCUGCCAAGACAAAGUUGGACAGAUUUCUUGAUGAAGAUACUUUAGGAGCCAAAACUAGACAAUGUGUGUCAGAAUUGAUUAAUGCAUGGAAUUAGUCAACCAAGCCAAUGUCCCUGUAUUGUAUAGUGUGUGUAUUGAGACAUAAAACUCAGCUUUUGUUGUGGUUUUUAGUGUACUAUGGGCCAGAUUUACUAAGCUCCCAAUUAAAGAGUACUAAAUUGCGUGUUCACUCCAAAAGUUUGCACGUUUGGUUGGUGGGCAUUUUGCGGGUGAUCUACUUUUACAUAAAUGUCAAUGUUGAAAUUCAAUAGAAUUCAGAGGCUGUGGAUGUUCAGUUCUGUUUGGCUAUAUGGCAACAAUAGCCUGUAGUUUAAUCAGGCGUUUCUCUUCCUUAACGAUUAGAAUAUUCAGUCAAAUUAAAAAAUAAAUGCAUGCCAUUUAUUUUUCUGUCAUUUGAAACAUGUAAACACUUGUGGGGAAUAACGCGAUCUUUAUGCCUUCUUUUGUUGUGCCUAUGUCUCCUCCUAACUACAAUCACAUCAGCCUGUUGUGUGUAACACUGGUCUCCUGGGUUAGCACGUUCCUUUCAAAGGUGUUAAAUACAGACACCGUCACAAUCACCGCAGUUUUUGUCAGGUUUGGUAAAUCACAAUGCGUGUACUAACUUAACUUGUUUGCAUUUUCUCCUCCCAGUAUUUUGCACGUUAGGGCAGAAACGCCCCAUAUUGCAUAUUCAUUAAGUCAAACGUACUAAAUGGUCAAUGCGUGUUGUUUUGCUCAUUUGAAAGACGCAAUCCUCACUGCACGCCGUUAGUAGAUCAGAUAGCACUUUUUUUGCUGGUGGUAUCAAGUUUGCACACGUUUUAAGACACGCAAACCUUUAGUAAAUCUGGCCUUAUGACUUAUAGGUCCAGGGUUUGAUAUUCCAAUGUGGUGUUCACACAUAAACACCAAGAGAAGCCAGAUGCUAUAACAAGCAACACUGCAUGCCUUUCAUUUCCCUGUGAUAGAAUGUGCUGGAGCGUGGCACAUGCUUCAUGGAUAUUUCUGCUACCAUAGUAAUCCUCUUUGUAUUUUCAGCCCUAUAUUUUAGCAUGAGGAUAUUCUUAUAUUGGACUGCGGAGUAGAAUGCCAGCUCAGUUCACCAACUGCACCAAUAGCCUGCGGAAUUCCCAUUAUGUAGGAGACAUGGGGGGUCAUCCUAAUGUUCCCAGGGUCCUAUGUGUCCAGGGUCAUAUGUUAACCAUCAUUUAAAAAGAUUAAUGAGGGGUUCAUUUGUGUAUUUAUUUAAGAAAAACUCAAGGUGUCUGGUUGAUUCACAUGCAAUUUGAGUGACAAAAGUCUGUCAAACCAGCCUGAUCUCACCAAUAAACUUUAAAUUAGCUCUACCUUGUGAGAGUGCAUUUCAAGUGCAGUAGGGUAGGGGAAAACAAAACAAAACCUCCACAUACAUUAUUGUUUUGAUCUAAAUAAGAACUGAAUGUUACGUGCAGAAUCCGCAUGAUAUAAGUUAUGUUGAGUAUGUUCGGUUUUAGCAAGUUAUGAAAUGUAGACAUUACAGACACCACAUUGUGUUGCAUAAUAUGUUAGGUUGCACAUGUUAAAUUACAUAGGUCACAUUUCAUAGGUUGCAUUGUUUACCUUAUGUCCAUAAGUUACGUUGUACUCACCACAAUUGUACAUUGAAUAUGUUACAAUUCAUAUUUUACGUGCACGUUAUGUUGUAUACAACACGUGUAUAUGUUACAUUGCAUAAGUUAAGUUGCAUAUUUUGUUGUGCACAUUAAGUGGUAUACAUUGCAUAUGUUUCAUUGCACAUGUUCCAUUGAAUGUGUUUCAUUGCAUACUUUGUGUGCACGUAAUGUUGCAUACAUCACUUUGUUUAUGUUUCAUUUAACAUGUAAUGUUAUGAAGAUGAUGAAAAAGAAAAUCAGUUGAGAACUAGGUCAGUUAAGUAACAUAUGUCACCAGUAAAAAAAAUUAAAAUAAGUCAGUGUUGACUUCCCAUCUCACAUGUGACUCCAUCUCUGGUCCUGUGUUUGCAUGACUCAUCCUUGGCCACUUACUACUAUACCAGCAGUCUGUAUAGCUCUUCAUACAACUUCCUCUAGAGGAUUUAUGUGUCCACCACAUUUACAGAUCUUUAUUGACUUUGGGCAGAUGUGUCUCAAAGGUAGAGUCGGUCGUCUCUCAACUAAAAGGUUGAGGAUUAAAUCCCCAGCUCCUGCAGUCACAUGUCGAUGUGUUGUUGGGAAAGACACUUUCCACUUUGCCAUCAGUGUGUGAAUGUGGUGAAUUGGUUCGGUGUGACCUGUGAUGUAAAAAUCACUUUGAGUACUCAGAAAAAAACACUUUACAAGCUCAAGUCCAUUUACUUUUACUUUUAAUUUAACAAAUUCUUCUCUGGGGCCGACACUUUAUUUCUAUACAUCACACGCCUUUAUCAAGUAAAGCUGUGGUAAGAGGCCAAGGCUGUUCCUGGCUAUUUUGUGAGACCAUUAUGGUUCUGCCAACGUGGAGAUAUCAAUGCCAAGACACCCCUCUUGCCCACAUUUUGAAGGCGUAGGUUUUAAGAAGUAUAACAUCAGUUGAGAUUAUAUUAAACCAAGGGACAUUUACACAAAGCUGUGCUGAAAACUGCCUCUCCUUCUGAAAAAGUCUCCUUGAUCCGUCUCAUUAAGAGGAUAUUAAGUAGGGGAACAUACGACCCUGGCAGCUUAGAGCCCUGGGAACAUGGAAAUGCUGCUCCGGCAAUCUCCACACA